GACUGAAGGGAUAGCCCAGUCAGUAGAGCAUGCGACUCUUAAUCUCAGGUUCGUGAGUUCGAGCCCCACUUUGGGCA